rnacentral:rRNA from 1 species
UACGAACUGUGCAAACGUUAUUCGGAAUCACUGGGCUUAAAGGGUGCGUAGGCGGCUUGUUAAGUAGGGUGUGAAAUCCCCCGGCUCAACCGGGGAAUUGCGCCCUAAACUGGCGAGCUGGAGUGAGAUAGGGGUGUGUGGAACUUCCAGUGGAGCGGUGAAAUGUGUUGAUAUUGGAAGGAACGCCAGUGGCGAAAGCGGCUUUCUGGUCUGUAACUGACGCUGAGGCGCGAAAGCGUGGGGAGCAAACAGG